GACGAACCGUCCAAACGUUAUUCGGAAUUACUGGGUUUAAAGGGUGCGUAGGCGGCGCUGUAAGUCAGGUGUGAAAGCCCUCGGCUCAACCGAGGAAUUGCGCUUGAAACUGCAGUGCUUGAGUGAGGUAGGGGUGCAUGGAACUUCCGGUGGAGCGGUGAAAUGUGUAGAUAUCGGAAGGAACGCCGGCGGCGAAAGCGGUGCACUGGGCCUUGUCUGACGCUGAGGCACGAAAGCUAGGGUAGCGAACGGG
rnacentral:rRNA from 1 species